UGCUGGCUGGCCUGGGGGCGGGGCGACGGAGGGCUGAGAGAGCUCGCGUGGGCAGUAGGCGUUCUGGUGGUAUGGGAGCAAGUCCAGGACCGUUUGUGGGAAAGCAGUGUACCGGAUGUGUGGAAAGGAAGUGCGCGGAGGCAAGUUGCCAUGUGCGUAAGUGCGAGGCAGGCUAUACAGUGCUAACACUAGGUACUGAUAGAGCCGAAUGUAAGGACCCCCUCAACUAGAAACGUCCUGCUCAAGAAGGAAUGAGAGGCCAAUCCCUACCCUGAAAACUCUUGUAUUCCCAUCCACCUUAACCCAUGUGCUUACUUCUUUUUCGGAUUCAGCCGGUUCGCACCCCAGUGAAAUAAAGGCCACGUUGCCCACGCAGAACAUUGACUCCGAUUUCUUGUGUUCACAUCUGGGAAUAAUCUCUCAUUUGGGUCCUUAAUCUCUCAGGUAGUACGGUCUUCUAAGGAAACAAACGUCAUCCUCCCCGGCCUUUCUGUAAAGUUACUUAAUAAUCUAGUU